GGAAAGAUGGUGUAAUUGGUACGCACGCAACACUGAAAAUGUUGAGGUAAAAGUUCAAUUCUUUUUCUUUCCA
rnacentral:tRNA from 1 species